CAUCGUCCCAUCUCUAGAGCUUUGUGAGGAAGGUAAAUCGCGUGAUGUGCCCUAACAGGUCAGGGAACAAGAGCUGUCUGUACACUGCGCUUACAAGGAGUCCAAUUCCAUGUUUCAGGAAUCGAACCCCCACACUGCGACUGCCAACAAAACGUGAGAUAACCUCACUCCUGUUCUUUGCACCACUGAGCUAUGCUCCGAGAGGCCUUUUGAUACAUAUAUACACACACGUACAGAUUGAAAAGGGUAGAGCAACCAAUUUUAUAUUUUUACUCUCUUUAAUUGAUUGACAUGGACAGAGAGAGAAGAAAAUUGAGGCACGCAAUUAUAUAUUUUUUACCCACUUUUUGCCAAAGAAGAUUGAUUCAGACGGAGGCUACUUUAUUAAAUAGAGGGAUGCACGAAAAUUGACGCAGCAACUUGGAAUUCUUUGCUGAAAUUUAAUAGUUACAUACACGAAGUUGGAAAGGAGAUGACAGACAACAUUAUUGGAAAUUUUUUAGGUUCCAUCAAUUUUUGGUGAUAUCUUCCAUAAUUCAUUGUUUUUUCUCUAUUAAUAUGGUUAGUUAAAUUUAAUUUUAAAGCGAAUAAUGUAACUGAUUUGGG
rnacentral:lncRNA from 1 species